GAUGAACGCUGGCUACAGGCUUAACACAUGCAAGUCGAGGGGAAACGGCAUUGAGUGCUUGCACUGAAUGGACGUCGACCGGCGCACGGGUGAGUAACGCGUAUCCAACCUUCCCGUUACUGCGGGAUAACCUGCCGAAAGGCAGACUAAUACCGCAUGUUCUUCGAUGACGGCAUCAGAUUCGAAGCAAAGAUCCGUCGGUAACGGAGGGGGAUGCGUCUGAUUAGCUAGUUGGCGGGGCGACGGCCCACCAAGGCGACGAUCAGUAGGGGUUCUGAGAGGAAGGUCCCCCACAGUGGAACUGAGACACGGUCCAAACUCCUACGGGAGGCAGCAGUGAGGAAUAUUGGUCAAUGGGCGGAAGCCUGAACCAGCCAAGUAGCGUGCAGGAUGACGGCCCUACGGGUUGUAAACUGCUUUUAUGCGGGGAUAAAGUGAGGGACGCGUCCCUUUUUGCAGGUACCGCAUGAAUAAGGACCGGCUAAUUCCGU
rnacentral:rRNA from 1 species